AUUGAACGCUGGCGGCAGGCCUAACACAUGCAAGUCGAACGAGUGGCGGACGGGUGAGUAAUGUCUGGGAAACUGCCUGAUGGAGGGGGAUAACUACUGGAAAGGGUAGCUAAUACCGCAUACCAUCGGAGGGGCCCAGAUGGGAUUAGCGAGUAGGGGGGGUAAGGGCUCACCUAGGCGACGAUCCCUAGCUGGUCUGAGAGGAUGACCAGACACACUGGAACUGAGACCCGGUCCAGACUCCUACGGGCGGCAGCAGUGGGGAAUAUUGCACAAUGGGCGCAAUCCUGAUGCAGCCAUGCCGCGUGUAUGACGAAGGCCUUCGGUUUGUAAAGUACUUUCAGCGGGGAGGCGUUACCCGCAGAAGCAGCCCCGGCUAACUCCGUGCCAGCAGCCGCGGUAAUUC
rnacentral:rRNA from 1 species